CCGCCCCGCCCGCCAGCCACUCAAAUAUGGGUUCCUGCGGGGCUGUGGGCUCCGUGCGUGCGCGCUACCUUGUGUUCUUCCAGUACUUGGGCACUGACUUCAAUGGAGUUGCGGCCGUGAGGGGUAAUCAUCGCGCUGUUGGGGUACAGAACUUCCUGGAGGAGGCUGCCAAGCGACUGAACUCUGUCGAGCCUGUCAGGUUCACUAUCUCUAGCCGCACUGAUACGGGAGUGCAUGCCCUGAGCAACGCAGCGCACCUGGACAUACAGCGUCGCCCAGGCCUGCCACCUUUCUCCCCGGAGAUUGUGACUAAGGCCCUCAACACCCACCUGAAGCACCCAGCCAUUCGUGUACUGAAGGCCUUCCGAGUGCCCAACGACUUCCACGCUCGCCACGCAGCUACCUCCAGAACCUACCUAUACCGUCUGGCCACAGGCUGCUCCUGGCCUAAUCAACUGCCUGUGUUUGAACAAAAUGUAUGCUGGGCUCUGCAGACAGAGUACCUGGAUAUGGCUGCCAUGCAGGAGGCUGCCCAGCAUCUCCUCGGGACACAUGAUUUUAGUGCCUUCCAGUCUGCUGGCAGCCCAGUCACAAAUGCUGUACGCACACUACGAAGAGUCUCUGUGUCUCCUGGUCCAGCCAGUCCAUUUGUCCUCCCCCAGGAGAGCAGGAGGCUGCAGUUCUGGACCUUGGAGUUUGAAAGCCAGUCUUUCCUUUAUCGACAGGUGCGGAGGAUGACAGCUGUGCUGGUGGCGGUGGGGCUAGGGACUCUGGCACCCACACAAGUGAAAGUGAUUCUGGAGAGUCAAGAUCCCUUGGGCAAGUAUCAGGCUCGAGUUGCCCCAGCCCGUGGCCUGUUCUUGAAGUCAGUGCUCUAUAACAACUUUGGUCCUACAUCCUGAACCGUAUGGUGUCCAGAGUGUGGAAACCAACUGACGGUACACAGUGGAAAUGAAGCCACACAGCACACAGGCUAUCAACCUUGUCCAACAUUUACUGUGCUCGGCAGAGAUUAAUCUACAUCCCUUUGUCACUGAGGGACCAGCAUGGGGUACCAGGCAGUCAAAAGCUGACAGAGUCUGUGACCCAGUUAUGGUCUUCACCCGCCUCUCAAAGCCGAAGCCCUGGUCCUCCUGCUGGGAAAACAGCAAGAAACAAGAGUGGUGGAUAUAUGUCAGCUGGGAGCCUGGGGAAGGCCAUUUUUCAGUAAUGCUGUGAGAAAGCUUCCCAGCUCCUCAUCCUAUAAGAGAGGGAACCACAGUUAAACACAAU